AUUGAACGCUGGCGGCAGGCCUAACACAUGCAAGUCGAACGAGUGGCGGACGGGUGAGGAAUGUCUGGGAAACUGCCUGAUGGAGGGGGAUAACUACUGGAAACGUUAGCUAAUACCGCAUACCAUCGGAUGUGCCCAGAUGUGAUUAGCUAGUAGGUGGGGUAAAGGCGCACCUAGGCGACGAUCCCUAGCUGGUCUGAGAGGAUGCCCAGCCAAACUGGAACUGAGAAACGGUCCAGACUCCUACGGGAGGAAGCAGUGGGGAAUAUUGCACAAGGGGCGCAAGCCUGAUGCAGCCAUGCCGCGUGUAUGAAGAAGGCCUUCGGGUUGUAAAGUACUUUCAGCGGGGAUGCGUUACCCGAAGAAGAAGCACCGGCGAACUUCGUGCCAGCAGCCGCGGUAAUUC
rnacentral:rRNA from 1 species